rnacentral:rRNA from 1 species
CCUACGGGGGGCUGCAGUGGGGAAUAUUGGACAAUGGGCGAAAGCCUGAUCCAGCCAUGCCGCGUGUGUGAAGAAGGCCUUCGGGUUGUAAAGCACUUUCAGUGGGGAAGAAAGCCUUGGGGCUAAUACCCUCGAGGAAGGACAUCACCCACAGAAGAAGCACCGGCUAACUCCGUGCCAGCAGCCGCGGUAAUACGGAGGGUGCGAGCGUUAAUCGGAAUUACUGGGCGUAAAGCGCGCGUAGGCGGUCUGAUAAGCCGGUUGUGAAAGCCCCGGGCUCAACCUGGGAACGGCAUCCGGAACUGGCAGGGUAGAGGGCAGGAGAGGAAGGUAGAAUUCCCGGGGUAGCGGUGAAAUGCGUAGAGAUCGGGAGGAAUACCAGUGGCGAAGGCGGCCUUCUGGACUGACACUGACGCUGAGGUGCGAAAGCGUGGGUAGCAAACAGGAUUAGAUACCCUGGUAGUC